CUGAAGUCCAGGGGGAGUGCUGGCCCGUUCGGGCAUGGGCACCCUCCUACCCUUCAUCCACACACACCUGUGCACCUUUCGAGGCGAGGACUCCCGUGCCUGGAGCCGGACCUUUGAUGGUCCCGAGGACUCGCCUACUCUUUUCACAAACUCUUAUGUAUGACCCGGAACGUAGUCGCGGCGUCGCCGCAAAACCCAUGCA
rnacentral:misc_RNA from 1 species